AUUGAACGCUGGCGGCAGGCCUAACACAUGCAAGUCGAGCGAGCGGCGGACGGGUGAGUAAUGUUUGGGGAUCUGACCGAUAGAGGGGGAUAACUACUGGAAACUGUGGCUAAUACCGCAUACUAUAGGAUGAACCCAUAUGGGAUUAGCUAGUAGGUGGGGUAAAGGCUCACCAAGGCAACGAUCUCUAGCUGGUCUGAGAGGAUGACCAGCCACAAUGUGACUGAGACACGGCCCAGACUCCUACGGGAGGCAGCAGUGGGGAAUAUUGCACAAUGGGCGCAAGCCUGAUGCAGCCAUGCCGCGUGGAUGAAGAAGGCCUUAGGGUUGUAAAGUACUUUCAGCGGGGAGGCGUUAACCACAGAAGAAGCACCGGCUAACUCCGUGCCAGCAGCCGCGGUAAUUC
rnacentral:rRNA from 1 species